CCGUCCUAGUCUCAACCAUAAACGAUGCCGACCAGGGAUCGGCGGAUGUUGCUUAUAGGACUCCGCCGGCACCUUAUGAGAAAUCAAAGUCUUUGGGUUCCGGGGGGUUGGGUAUGGUCGCAAGGCUGAAACUUAAAGGAAUUGACGGAAGGGCACCACCAGGCGUGGAGCCUGCGGCUUAAUUUGACUCAACACGGGGAAACUUACCAGGUCCAGACAUAGCAAGGAUUGACAGACUGAGAGCUCUUUC
rnacentral:ncRNA from 1 species